ACUCCUCCAUAUCUUCUUACCUUAUUUCUAGGGCUCCUUUCACUGCUUGGUUCUAAUAGCAGAUCUGCAGUACAAAAAGCAAAAUGUGCUUUCUGCAAAAAACAAUUCUACAGACUAAGCUUAAUAAAUGCUUGACAUUUUGAAGAGCACACAAGAAAACUCUAAAGCUCCUUAAUCAAAACCAGCACAUACAGAUUCAUGGAAACUAUGCUGAAGGGAAGUUUUCUGCAUCACUUGCCAGCUCUUGCUCUGCCAGGAAUGUACCAUACACAGUUUUAUUUUUGCUUUACUACAAACUGCCUCAAUUUUGAUUUCCAAAUUGGUUACAAAUCAAAUCACAAGGUAACUCUUUAUGAGGUCCUCUAUCUAAUCAUUUACUUCUUUUGAAUUCUACAGAUGAAAACAAUUACAUGGAGAAUAAAGACGAACAAAACCUCAUGGAGAAUAAGGAUGAAUAAAACUCCUUGCUUCUACCACGUAUUGUUUACACACAUGUUAUAUAUCUCUAAUAUUUUUUCCUCUGCAAAGUCAUGCUGCGUUGCUGUAUUCAUUCUGCUGUUCCCCGGCAUAUCCUGAUAGCCAAGGUCACCAAGCACUGGCUCUGCUGAAACACCAGAGGGAGCAAGUUUCCCAGAGGAGAGAAUGCUUUAUUGAAAACUCGCCUGGCUACUGUGUUUCAUCAUCUAGGAGAAUACAAAAGAAUUUAUUGCUGGAAUUGCUGGGAAUGUCCUUCAAUGCGAAGUCCUUCAACUUGUGAUGAAAUGUGUAACAAGGAGCUCCAAGCAGCAGAAAAAAGUGAGGAUGUACAUAAUAUGGGCAGUUGCAGGUUUUCAUUCACAAAGCUGAAAUAUCUUCUCUUACUGACUAUGGGAGGAAAAACUAACAGAAGAAAAACUAACAGCCUUAAUGUAUUUGCCUAAUAAAAUUUUUUUUGGUA